rnacentral:rRNA from 1 species
ACGUAGGGGGCGAGCGUUAUCCGGAAUUAUUGGGCGUAAAGAGCGCGUAGGUGGUUCUUUAAGCGUGAGGUGAAAGGCAAUAGCUCAACUAUUGUAAGCCUUGCGAACUGGGGGACUUGAGUGCAGGAGAGGAAAGCGGAAUUCCUAGUGUAGCGGUGAAAUGCGUAGAUAUUAGGAGGAACACCAGUGGCGAAGGCGGCUUUCUGGACUGUAACUGACACUGAGGCACGAAAGCGUGGGGAGCAAACAG